AGAGUUUGAUUCUGGCUCAGGAUGAACGCUGGCGGCGUGCCUAACACAUGCAAGUCGAACGGACUCGUACUGAAACCUAGUGAUUUAUGAGUUAGUGGCGGACGGGUGAGUAACGCGUGGAUAACCUGCCGUAUACUGGGGGAUAACACUUAGAAAUAGGUGCUAAUACCGCAUAAGCGCACAGUCUCGCAUGGGACGGUGUGAAAAACUCCGGUGGUAUACGAUGGAUCCGCGUCUGAUUAGCUUGUUGGCGGGGUAACAGCCCACCAAGGCGACGAUCAGUAGCCGGCCUGAGAGGGUGAACGGCCACAUUGGGACUGAGACACGGCCCAAACUCCUACGGGAGGCAGCAGUGGGGAAUAUUGCACAAUGGGGGAAACCCUGAUGCAGCGACGCCGCGUGAGUGAAGAAGUACCCCGGUACGUAAAGCUCUAUCAGCAGGGAAGAAAAUGACGGUACCUGACCAAGAAGCCCCGGCUAACUACGUGCCAGCAGCCGCGGUAAUACGUAGGGGGCAAGCGUUAUCCGGAUUUACUGGGUGUAAAGGGAGCGU
rnacentral:rRNA from 1 species